rnacentral:rRNA from 1 species
ACGGGGGGUGCAAGCGUUAUUCGGAAUCACUGGGCGUAAAGAGCGCGUAGGCGGUCUCUUAAGUCAGAUGUGAAAGCCCGGGGCUCAACCCCGGAAGUGCAUUUGAAACGAAGGGACUUGAGUAUGGGAGAGGGAAGUGGAAUUCCUGGUGUAGCGGUGAAAUGCGUAGAUAUCAGGAGGAACACCGGUGGCGAUGGCGACUUCCUGGACCAAUACUGACGCUGAGGCGCGAAGGCGUGGGGAGCAAACAGG